rnacentral:lncRNA from 1 species
AAAUUAAAUAUUUUACCAUGUUUCAUGCAUCAUGAUUAUGCAAUAGGAUGAUUGCAUUAGUUUUCACGAAUAUGCCGCAUUGCAUCGAUUGUUGUUGAUGUGGGUGAAUAUUGGAUGACCCAAUUAGUCCAUGACAGGAAGACCAGGACCCCAUUCUACGGCCUGGCACAAUGUAAGGAAAGACCAGGACCCCAUUCUACGGCCUGGCACGGUUAUGGGACUCGAAGACCAGGAGCCCAGAGGAGGCCCUGGGGCAAUGGUAAGUAAUGUAUGUUAUGACAGGAAGACCAGGACCCCAUGCUACGGCCUGGCACAAUGUUAGCUUGGACUAAUUGGUGACAAGUUCACCCAACCCUUAUGUGAAUUGUCUGUGUUAUGAUGCAUUUCAUGGAGCAUAGUGUUAAUAUGUUUUUCUAUAAUCCUACUCACUGGGCUUUUAGCUCACCCCUCUCCCUUUACCCCCAGGCUUGUAGGUACAGGAUAGAAG